rnacentral:rRNA from 1 species
AGAAUCAACGCUGGCGGCGUGCCUCAGACAUGCAAGUCGAACGCGAAAGUUUCCUUCGGGAAACAAGUAGAGUGGCGCACGGGUGAGUAACACGUAGGUAAUCUACCUUUGGAUGGGGAAUAACAAUCGGAAACGGUUGCUAAUACCGCAUAAUGCAGCGGCACCUAAUGGUGACAGUUGUUAAAGCGGGGGAUCGAAAGACCUCGCGUCUGAAGAGGAGCCUGUGGCGGAUUAGCUAGUUGGUAAGGUAAUGGCUUACCAAGGCUACGAUCC